AGUCGAGCGAACAGACGAGGAGCUUGCUCCUUUGACGUUAGCGGCGGACGGGUGAGUAACACGUGGGUAACCUACCUAUAAGACUGGGAUAACUUCGGGAAACCGGAGCUAAUACCGGAUAAUAUUUCGAACCGCAUGGUUCGAUAGUGAAAGAUGGCUCUGCUCUCACUUAUAGAUGGACCUGCGCCGUAUUAGCUAGUUGGUAAGGUAACGGCUUACCAAGGCAACGAUACGUAGCCGACCUGAGAGGGUGAUCGGCCACACUGGAACUGAGACACGGUCCAGACUCCUACGGGAGGCAGCAGUAGGGAAUCUUCCGCAAUGGGCGAAAGCCUGACGGAGCAACGCCGCGUGAGUGAUGAAGGUCUUCGGAUCGUAAAACUCUGUUAUUAGGGAAGAACAAACGUGUAAGUAACUGUGCACGUCUUGACGGUACUUAAUCAGAAAGCCACGGCUAACUACGUGCCAGCAGCCGCGGUAAUACGUAGGUGGCAAGCGUUAUCCGGAAUUAUUGGGCGUAAAGCGCGCGUAGGCGGUUUUUUAAGUCUGAUGUGAAAGCCCACGGCUCAACCGUGGAGGGUCAUUGGAAACUGGAAAACUUGAGUGCAGAAGAGGAAAGUGGAAUUCCAUGUGUAGCGGUGAAAUGCGCAGAGAUAUGGAGGAACACCAGUGGCGAAGGCGACUUUCUGGUCUGUAACUGACGCUGAUGUGCGAAAGCGUGGGGAUCAAACAGGAUUAGAUACCCUGGUAGUCCACGCCGUAAACGAUGAGUGCUAAGUGUUAAGGGGGUUUCCGCCCCUUAGUGCUGCAGCUAACGCAUUAAGCACUCCGCCUGGGGAGUACGACCGCAAGGUUGAAACUCAAAGGAAUUGACGGGGACCCGCACAAGCGGUGGAGCAUGGUGGUUUAAUUCGAAGCAACGCGAAGAACCUUACCAAAUCUUGACAUCCUUUGACCCUUCUAGGAAGAUAGAAGUUUCCCCUUUCGGGGGACAAAGUGACAGGUGGUGCAUGGUUGUCGUCAGCUCGUGUCGUGAGAUGUUGGGUUAAGUCCCGCAACGAGCGCAACCCUUAAGCUUAGUUGCCAUCAUUAAGUUGGGCACUCUAGGUUGACUGCCGGUGACAAACCGGAGGAAGGUGGGGAUGACGUCAAAUCAUCAUGCCCCUUAUGACCUGGGCUACACACGUGCUACAAUGGUCGGUACAACGAGUCGCUAACCUGCGAGGGCAAGCUAAUCUCUUAAAGCCGAUCUCAGUUCGGACUGUAGGCUGCAACUCGCCUACACGAAGUCGGAAUCGCUAGUAAUCGCGGAUCAGC
rnacentral:rRNA from 1 species